rnacentral:rRNA from 1 species
CCUACGGGGGGCAGCAGUGAGGAAUAUUGGUCAAUGGUCGGGAGACUGAACCAGCCAAGCCGCGUGAGGGAGGAAGGUACAGAGUAUCGUAAACCUCUUUUGUCAGGGGACAAAGACUGGGACGCGUCCCCGGAUGAGUGUACCUGAAGAAAAAGCAUCGGCUAACUCCGUGCCAGCAGCCGCGGUAAUACGGAGGAUGCGAGCGUUAUCCGGAUUUAUUGGGUUUAAAGGGUGCGCAGGCGGAUUUUUAAGUCAGCGGUCAAAUCGUGGGGCUCAACCCCAUCCAGCCGUUGAAACUGGGGAUC